AUCAGUGCAAUUACAACAAAUACAAUGAAACCAUAAUUUAACAGUUAACCCAUGUUAGACCCACUACAAUCAACGAAUAUAAUCAACAAAUACAGAAACCACAAUUAAUCCAUGUAAGACCUACCACAAUUAACGAAUACAAUAACAUUGAUUUCAUAGUAGCAUUUUUCCUAAAGAUGCCACUUGAUUUUGUUUUUCAUUAGUUUGAUCAAAGGGCAGAAUCACCAACAAGCAUUAACAAACCUGCUGCUACUCCUUGAAAGGCUUAGAGAGAGAAGAAACAAGCUGGACAAUCAUUCCAUAGUUGAUGAUUUGCAUCAAAAGGUAAGUAGAUAUUUACAUUGAAACUUAGAACUACUCCCCAUUCCUAUCCCAAAAAAAGAGUUAUAGAGCAAAUUAAACUCGUGCUACUCAAGUCCAAACAUUUGUUCAAAUUGUGAUCCGUCUACUGCCAUCUCAUAUAAAAAAGAAUUGAAUUAUGGAGUGUGAAAAUACAAUUAUAGAUAAU
rnacentral:misc_RNA from 1 species